CACGAGGUCUUGAACCUUCAUCUUCAACUGAAAGCAACUAUCCACAUCAUGACCAGGAGCACCCGAAUGAUACACACAAUGCUGCUCAGGCCUAUACCACCAUCGAGGGUUGACGGGUAUAGCCGGCGGGUCUCUGGGAGUAAUCAAGUUCCACUCUAACAGAGAGGGAUACAGUUCGGCGUAGGACAUGGGGAUUGGAUCAAAAAUGAUCUUC
rnacentral:lncRNA from 1 species